rnacentral:rRNA from 1 species
GACGAACGCUGGCGGCGUGCUUAACACAUGCAAGUCGAACGGAAAGGCCCCUUCGGGGGUACUCGAGUGGCGUACGGGUGAGUAACACGUGAGUAACCUGCCCUUGACUUCGGGAUAACUUCAGGAAACUGGGGCUAAUACCGGAUAGGAAUCCUUGCUGCAUGGUGGGGGUUGGAAAGCUUCGGCGGUUUUGGAUGGACUCGCGGCUUAUCAGCUUGUUGGUGGGGUAGUGGCUUACCAAGGCUUUGACGGGUAGCCGGCCUGAGAGGGCGACCGGCCACAUUGGGACUGAGAGACGGCCCAGACUCCUACGGGAGGCAGCAGUGGGGAAUAUUGCACAAUGGGCGGAAGCCUGAUGCAGCAACGCCGCGGGCGGGAGGACGGCCUUCGGGUUGUAAACCGCUUUCAGCAGGGGCGAAGCUUGUGGUGACGGUACCUGCAGAAGAAGCACCGGCUAACUACGUG